GACUGCAGAGCCGCAGAGCCGCAGUUUUACCCCAGCAGUUUUACCCCAGCAGUUUUACCCCGCGCAUGCGCAGUUUCACUAUAGCAGUUUUAUCCGCUCGUUUUGAAUAAGUUAUUAAAUUGUCUUUACUGCAGUCAGUUCAGCAGUACUGUUGGACAAAUCAUUCUUUUAUUUAACAUAUUAAUGUCGCAGGAAACUUUCAGCACCAGGCCGUUGGAUCAAAAAAACAACAAAAAAAAAACAAAGUAAGGGUAUUUUGUUGUCUUGUUUUCGGGACACUUUAACGUCCUGAUUGAUUUCUUUGUUUUUCGAAAUGCAAUUUGCCAUUUCAGCAUAUCUCCCAUCAACUCGAUAUGACAUCCUGUCGGGUCUUCAUGAUUAUGACAUGGAAGGUGGCUUGCACAUUGGGCUGAGGCGGUUGGAUUGCACAUGGCGGUUGGAUCUUGCCUCACUGACAGUGAAAUGAAUGGACCAGGAGAAAUUGAGUAUGGAGUAGGAGCGCUGGAGGGGGACACAACACCACACAAUCUUGAGAAUGCCAAUAUGAUGAGCAGCAUCAGGAAAGGUGUGGAAUGGUUGAAGGACAAUCACGCUGAU